rnacentral:misc_RNA from 1 species
CUGUUCAGAGGAGAUUAAUCGGCAAACGCAGACGUAUCUCAGCGAAAAGCAACUCCAUUUCUCUCUGCUCCCCCAGUUUACCUUCUCUCCAGCACACGCGCACGCACGCAGUGUCCUUUGCAGCGUCGCAUCCGCCACCGAAACUUUCGGUCGUCUGAAAUCAGCCACCUCUUUUCGUUGGGCGUUGCAUACUCCACUGCUCCUUUGCCGCCUCAACACUGCGCCAAUGCCGUUCAACGGAUACACGGUUGGCUGCCACCUGCUGGACCGCCUUGUGGAGGCGGGAUGUGACCACCUCUUCGGCGUCCCGGGCGACUUUAAUCUGCGCUUCCUCGAUGAUGUCAUGGCUCACCCACGCAUGAAGUGGGUUGGUACGGCCAACGAGCUGAACGCAGCCUACGCGGCUGACGGCUACGCGCGUCAGCGCGGCCUGGGUGCCGUCGCUACGACCUACGGCGUCGGCGAGCUUUCCGCGCUGAACGGAAUCGCUGGCAGCUUUGCCGAGAGCGUGCCGGUCAUUCACAUUGCCGGAGCCACCUCCACGAAGAGCCAAGGAAACCGCGAACUGCUGCAUCACUCACUCGGCGACGGCAGCCACAUGCACUUCCUAAACAUCAGUGCCGAGGUUUGCUGCAUUGCGGUGAUGCUGACGCCGGAGAACUGCCUGACAGAGAUCGACCGUGUCAUCACGGAGGUGCUUUACCAAAAGAAGCCGGGCUACAUUGCGUUGCCGAUGAAUGUGGCGGAGAUGAUCGUGCCGCCGCCGCCGGCGAAGCUGAUGCGCCGUCUGCCGGAGGUGUCCCUUGAAUCGGUGAGCGCAUUCAAGCACACCGUAGCGUCCCGCCUGCACAGCGCCCGCAGCCCGGCGGUGCUGACAGGGCACUUGAUCCACCGCCACCAGUGCGGUCCGCAGGUGAACCACUUCCUCGAGAACGUCCACAUCCCGUACGCCCCCGCCGUCCUCGGCAAGGGCGCCGUAAAUGAACACCUGGAGAACUACGUCGGCACCUACAUCGCCGGCGAUGAGCCGUGCCCUGCGAAGUCCGUCAUUGAAAGCGCCGACGUGUGCAUCUCGAUUGGCGUCCAGUUUGUCGACACCGUCACCUCGAUCUUCCGUCACAAGAUCGACCCUCUCAAAAUGAUCGACAUACAGCCCUUUUUCGCCAAGGUCGGGGAUCAGGUCUUCUACCAGGUACCAAUGGAGAUGGCCGUAAAGGCGGUCGAAGAAGUCGCGAUGGAAUGCCACGCGAACUGGAGCACCGAGUACCCGGAGCCGGAGGGACUACGUUACCCGGAAAGCCCUGACACCUUUGACCUCUCCCAUGUUUGGCAAGAGAUUAGCAACGGCCUGCAGCCCAACGACGUUCUCCUGGUGGACAUCGGCACGUCCUCUUUUACGUCCGCGUUGCUUCGCUUGCCGCAGGGUUGCGACAUGCUUUGCCAGCAGAUGUGGGCCUCCAUCGGCUACACCCUCCCCGCCGCCAUUGGAGCGCAGAUCGCGGACGAAAGUCGCAGCGUCGUGUGCAUCUUGGGCGAUGGUGCCGCGCAAAUGACGGUGCAGGAGCUCGGCUCGGCGGCGCGCUACAAGCUCAAGCCUAAAUAUAUCCUUAUCAACAAUGACGGCUACACCAUCGAGCGCUACAUACGCGGCUGGGACUCGUCGUACAACGACAUCUCCGUGUGGAACUGGACAGGCUUGGCGCGCAACUUCUGCAAGGGCGUUGAGCCGCGCACGUGUGUCGUGAACUCUGUCGGCGGUGUAGAAGCGGUGCUUCGCGAGAAGCAGGACAACAUGGUAUUUGCUGAAGUGCUUGUCGGUAAAUAUGAGGGCCCUCUGCGCUCUUCAGUGCCGCUUCCGCGCAAGCCAGCAAGCAAGGAGAGGGAGGCACUCGAUUUUCAAAGAAGAGAGAGUAAAAGUGAAGGGAGUGGUGUGGACGCUGAGACGAUGAUGAUGGCAUCAAAGACGCUAUUGACUUGAAGAGUAUUCUGUGCGUACCCGUUAAGGUGGCUCAGUGCCUCUCCACAGAUGAGGCUCCAUGAAACCACCCUCAGAGUCCCCCUCCUCCAGUAUUCCUGCCUUUAUUGC